GCCUUCACUGUGGAUCUGACAGGCGCUGCCUGGGCUCCGAGGCGCUGUAAUAACUGGGUGACCUUUUCUUGGGCUGUAUUAUGUCUGGCUGGGAAGGGAUUGCAUUUUGCGGCUGAGAGCCAGGGCUUCCUUCAGCUCGGGCUCCUCGCACACUGCUGGGGUAAGUUGUCAGGAGCCAGGACCAAGAGAGACAUCCCCCGGACUGCAGUUGCCUAAAAGAAGGACACCUGUGGCUCGCAUGCGGUCCACACUGGUACUUGGCGGAUCCUGGAGGACCUCAUUAUUUUAAACUUAAAAAAAUAUAUAGAGAGAGAUUCUACCCCCCGGUUUUUUUUUUUCCUUUUUUUUUUUCAAACAAUGUUUCUUUUUGACCUUUCCCAAGGAGAAGCGCUACCAAGCAGCCGCUGGGCUCAUUGAACACCCUCCCCUGUAUCGCUUAAUUGAGAAGGCAUACAAAUGCUCUCAGUUCAGCCAGACACCAAGCCAAAAGGUUGUGCUGGCUGCAACCGAAAAAUCAAGGACCGGUAUCUCCUAAAGGCACUGGACAAAUACUGGCAUGAGGACUGCCUGAAGUGUGCCUGCUGCGACUGCCGUUUGGGAGAGGUGGGCUCCACCUUGUACACGAAGGCUAACCUUAUCCUUUGUCGCAGAGACUAUCUGAGGCUGUUUGGUGUAACGGGAAACUGCGCUGCCUGUAGCAAGCUCAUCCCUGCCUUUGAGAUGGUGAUGCGUGCCAAGGAUAAUGUGUACCACCUGGACUGCUUUGCCUGUCAGCUUUGCAAUCAGAGGCUGAUUCACUUACGGCAGCAACAAUGACACCUAUCCUUAAACAAGUAUCUGGUAUACCUGGUCUUCUUAGAAAAGUUUACAUAUUUAUAGAAGAAAAUGUGAAAAUGAGGAAGAACAACAGCCUUCACCAUUCUAAACUAAAAUAAUUUUGUGUCGGAGACAAAUUUUUCUUAAAGAACAAUAUGAUUCUUUGCCAGACAGACUACGAGGAAGGCCUCAUGAAAGAAGGCUAUGCACCCCAGGUCCGCUGAGCCCGCAGCAGCGUCUCCCCAACAAUGCAAAGCACUACAUCCUUUUAUCUUUUUUGCUCACGUGUAUAUAAGAAUCAAUCGACACAGGAACCUGCUGAAUAGGGUAGCGGUAGGUGAGCAGGAUGGCCAUGUGGAGGAGAAGGUGGACUGCAUCUGUAUGUAGUGAAAUUGCCCCCGUUCAAGAGUUGAAUGUUCAUUAUUAAAGAGAGAAGUAAUGUAUAUAUUGCUGGAUUUUUUUGCCUGCCAUUCGUUUUUUUGUGUCACUUGGCAUGAGAUGUUUAUUUUGGACUAUUGUAUAUAAUGUAUUGUAAAUCCAAAGCACAAAUGUAAUACAGUUUUAUUGUGUUACCAUUUGUGUUUGGUUUGCUUCUUUGUAUUGUUGCAUUUAGUACAAUCAGUGUUUCAACUUACUGUACAUUUAUGCUUUCUGUGUCUGCCAGCUAUUUUCAGCGAGCUGUACCUUUCUAGUAAGAAUUGAAGAGCAAACCUCCACAAUGACACACAGAUGAAGCAAGACUAUCGACGUUAGAAAGGCAAAAAUAAGCAAGUAAACAAACAAAAAAGCAGUUAGUGACAUCUGCUUCUUACGGCUACAACAGCUUGGUGUAGCGCCGCGUUCUUGUCAUAACCCCCUAUUUUCAGGGGGCUAAAGAUCAGCUUUAAAAAAUGAUAACGAUUUCAGCUUAAAGCACUUUCGUUUUAUGCCAACGUGAAAAGUGCCAUUCUUAAAAUGACUUUAAAGCUUAGUGACGUCCUCCAAUGUCCUUUACCGAGCUCCUUACCAUCACUAUUAGAUUUAUUCUACUUUUGUUUUUCCAGCCACACGCCCUAUUUGAACUAGUGCCUUUGGGUAGCAUGUGAACAACUUCCAAAGGGUUAUUCUAAAUGAGAACGGUAUUACCCCAGUCACGACAUAAUUUAAAAGUUUUCAACUUCUUGUGUAAAUGUUGUCCAGAUUUCUCCCUAGGAGAUGAGGGCUUUGUGUCCGUGGUUAAUGAGCUGAUGGCCCGGAACAGGCUUGAGGGUGCGUCUCCUGAAGUCGGGAUGCUGCCCACUGAAAUUCUGAUGGCUGAGUCGCCCUGGGAUCUGCUCACAGCCUUGGAACUGUCUGUACAGAAACCGAGAAGAGAAGUAGAGAGAUUGGUAAAAAGUUGAGAGCUGCUUGGUGAUGAUGUAUUUCGCCUGCCAUUUACUUUAAUCUUUAAAACACUUUGAAUUUGCUGUCACACUUCCUCGGUCCCUCCUGAUCACUGCCAUCUUCCAACUCAGAUUAUGUAACACUUGGGCUAAAAUCUAUCCCCUUUAUUAUUAUUAUUAUUAUUAUUAUUAUUAUUUCAUUUUGUUUUUUAAUGGUGUUUCCCCCUUAUUUAAAUGAUAGCUGAUGAAGAAGAAUGUUCUAGAAACAGAAACUGUGGGAAAUGAUUACUUAAAUUGCAAUUAAGGAAAUAAAACCAAGAAUACAGCUUCCUCUUCUGCUCACACUCUGUUCAUUUUGCAUUGUGCAGUGAGACCACUUUGCAAACCCACUCCAUACAGACACAGUGUACCGUAUUUGCUCCCAAGAAAAGUCAACACUGCGGUUUUACUUAGUUUGUUCUCCAUUGUUGUACAGGAAAUAUCUCCCACUGUUACUUGUAUUAACCAUUUCCCCAGCCAGUGUCCCUGUUACAGAUGGUGAUUAAAUGCCAUCCCGACAUUCUUGGUCUGGGGCCAAAAUCUAAUCUGAAAUCGGUGCUGGUGUGGCUUUGAGUCAUUUCGAAGCAUGAGUUUAUUAGGAGAACAUAUGAGGAUCUUAAUGUCACCUUUUGCAGAAACAAAAGGUUCUGUAAAAAUUGAAUAAUAAGCAUAUUUUGUAAAUGCCUCAUUGUGAAGAAUGUGAAACUCCCACAUGCCCAAAUUCGAGGUAGAAUGAAGAAUUGCAAAGCUGUCCUCUUGUGGUCCGCAAGACGAUCCUCACUGCUCUCUCAGCCCCACAAACUUGCUUUGUGAUUAGCUAUGACAGUAAAAUACACAAAACAAAACCUGGAAGAGAGAAGAUACAGAGGGCGGGUGUGGGGGAGAUGCAAGCAAGAAGUAGUUUCUAAUACACAGCCCUGCUAGUUCCUGCUAAUAGUUAUUUAAGGUUUUACAUAAAGUCUGUCUACAUAUUUUUCAAAUGAUCCUCAGUUUUUCCCAUCAAAAUGAGUUUUCAGAUUGUCUCUGACAGGUCAAAACGUGUGUCGGUGGAAACAAACUUUUCUCAGUUUCUGAAAGCUCUUCAGCUAUCCUUGCCUUGCCCAAACCAAACAGGAUCUACAUUGCUUUGGCUUAAUUUGGGGGGAAAUUGUUCACCUGGAUUAAAAGCUAAAGCCUUAAUCUUUUUUGAUUAUCUUUAAUCUCCAUGAAAUUGUGAACCAAGAAAAGGGGUAAUUUUCCAGCUGUAAGGUGUUUCCCAGCUACUUGGCCACAGUUAGUAGCAUUUUUUUUUGACAUGAAGCAUUAAGUUAGUUUUGCUGAGAACUCGGGGCCCCUGAUUUUGCCUCAAUUCUUCUCUUUGUGUUGUGCAGCCCUUGUGUCAUGGUAUCUGAUGCUGUGGUCAGACGCCUGCCACAGUUUUGAUUUCUCAGGCUGGGGAAGUUGUCCUCCUAGCAUCUCUGCAGGCUACUUCUGACGAGGGGCCAGUCAACCCCCAUCCCACCAGCUUGCUCAGCUUAAGGGACGACCAACGUUUGUGACUUCACUUUCAUCUUGCUUAAUAAAGAUCUGGACUCUUUUAUUAUUAUUAUUUUUUGUUUAAUUUGGAUUCAUGUUUACAAUCAAUCACUGUUGAUUGCGCUUAACUGGCAAAGACGAAGGUGGUCUGAAGAAAGCAUGUGCUGUCCACAGGAAAAUGCAACCUUAUGUCCCUCUCUAAACCCAAAUCCCAACAAGCCUGAGGAAGCCAUAGCAGCUGCUCCUUUCCCUGAGACUGCUGGAGAUUCCUGAAGGAGGAGGCUCUCUGCCAUUGUACUUAUGUGAGAAAUAAAUAAAAUUGUCCGAAAUGAA